rnacentral:rRNA from 1 species
CAGUAGCCGCGGUAAUACGAGGGGGGCAAGCGUUGUUCGGAAUUAUUGGGCGUAAAGGGUGCGUAGGCGGUUCAGCAAGUCUCGUGUGAAAUCUUCGGGCUCAACCCGAAGUCUGCACGGGAAACUACUGGGCUUGAGUAAUGGAGAGGUGAGUGGAAUUUCCGGUGUAGCGGUGAAAUGCGUAGAUAUCGGAAGGAACACCUGUGGCGAAAGCGGCUCACUGGACAUUUACUGACGCUGAUGCACAAAAGCUAGGGGAGCAAACAGGAUUAGAUACCCCCGUAGUCCCUGUCUCUUAUAC